rnacentral:rRNA from 1 species
CCUACGGGAGGCAGCAGUGAGGAAUAUUGGUCAAUGGGCGAGAGCCUGAACCAGCCAAGUCGCGUGAGGGAGUACUGCCCUAUGGGUUGUAAACCUCUUUUGUCGGGGAGCAAAAGCCGGACGUGUCCGGCUGUGAGAGUACCCGAAGAAAAAGCAUCGGCUAACUCCGUGCCAGCAGCCGCGGUAAUUCGGAGGAUGCGAGCGUUAUCCGGAUUUAUUGGGUUUAAAGGGUGCGCAGGCGGAUUUUUAAGUCAGCGGUAAAAUCGUGGGGCUCAACCCCAUCCAGCCGUUGAAACUGGGGAUCUAGAGUGUGCGAGAGGUAUGCGGAAUGCGUGGUGUAGCGGUGAAAUGCAUAGAUAUCACGCAGAACCCCGAUUGCGAAGGCAGCAUACCGGUGCACAACUGACGCUCAGGCACGAAAGCGUGGGUAUCGAACAGGAUUAGAUACCCCUGUAGUC